UACGUAGGGUGCGAGCGUUGUCCGGAAUUAUUGGGCGUAAAGAGCUCGUAGGCGGUUUGUCGCGUCUGCCGUGAAAGCCCGGGGCUUAACCCCGGGUCUGCAUUCGAUACGGGCAGGCUAGAGUGCGGCAGAGGAGACUGGAAUUCCUGGUGUAGCAGUGAAAUGCGUAGAUAUCAGGAGGAACACCGAUGGCGAAGGCAGGUCUCUGGGCUGACACUGACGCUCAUGCACGAAAGCGUGGGGAGCAAACAGG
rnacentral:rRNA from 1 species